rnacentral:rRNA from 1 species
ACAAGGGGGGGAGUCUACCAUGCAGUCGAACGGUGAAGCCAAGCUUGCUUGGUGGAUCAGUGGCGAACGGGUGAGUAACACGUGAGCAACCUGCCCUGGACUCUGGGAUAAGCGCUGGAAACGGCGUCUAAUACUGGAUAUGAGCUUCUGCCGCAUGGUGGGGGUUGGAAAGAUUUUUCGGUCUGGGAUGGGCUCGCGGCCUAUCAGCUUGUUGGUGAGGUAAUGGCUCACCAAGGCGUCGACGGGUAGCCGGCCUGAGAGGGUGACCGGCCACACUGGGACUGAGACACGGCCCAGACUCCUACGGGAGGCAGCAGUGGGGAAUAUUGCACAAUGGGCGGAAGCCUGAUGCAGCAACGCCGCGUGAGGGAUGACGGCCUUCGGGUUGUAAACCUCUUUUAGCAGGGAAGAAGCGAAAGUGACGGUACCUGCAGAAAAAGCGCCGGCUAACUACGUGCCAGCAGCCGCGGUAAUACGUAGGGCGCAAGCGUUAUCCGGAAUUAUUGGGCGUAAAGAGCUCGUAGGCGGUUUGUCGCGUCUGCUGUGAAAUCCCGAGGCUCAACCUCGGGCCUGCAGUGGGUACGGGCAGACUAGAGUGCGGUAGGGGAGAUUGGAAUUCCUGGUGUAGCGGUGGAAUGCGCAGAUAUCAGGAGGAACACCGAUGGCGAAGGCAGAUCUCUGGGCCGUAACUGACGCUGAGGAGCGAAAGGGUGGGGAGCAAACAGGCUUAGAUACCCUGGUAGUCCACCCCGUAAACGUUGGGAACUAGUUGUGGGGACCAUUCCACGGUUUCCGUGACG